CCUCUUAAGAUAUUAAUUGAAACAUUUGAAGGCAGUAAUCAGUGAUUGAAUCAGGAAGUUCCAAGUCAUCUAUUUUCCCGACUAAUCUUCCCCAUUCGAGUGCCUGUCAUCUUUCCUACUUGAGCUGGUUUCUUGGUUGCUGUUCUCUGUCUGUCAUCCAAUUCGGGAAUGCCAGAGACCCAGAGCUGCUAGCAGUGUUCAAUGGGCAGCAGGAUUUUCCAGAGCAUGUAAUAGGCGAAUGUGCAUGGUCAGUUUCCAAGAGCAGGACACAGUAUGAAAGCGGCUCUCAAACAUUUUUGAUUGCAGCCUUUUUCUCCACCUCAAGACAGUGAAACAUUAUUUGGGAAAAUUUUCACUAGCGUAUUGCUAACUGCUGCAUUUGCUGAGUUCCAUCAACUCAUGAGUUUUUAUGUGUGUACUCAGAGCACAAGAAUUGUUUCUGGAUCUAGGCUAUGGUGCUUUUCAGUUCUUGGAAAUAAUUUCCCUGAAAUGUCCUCUGAGAAAGUCAAGAAUUUCCCUGAAAUGAUCUCUGAGAAAGUCAAUGUGAUUUCUUUUGGUAUGGUACAGAAUAUGCUCUGUACGUAUAAGAGACACUGCCACUCAAAAUAGGCCCAGUGCCUAGCUGCAAGACUUAAAGUUGAGUUACAUCAUCUCAUUUGAGUGCCACAAAUCAUGCAUUGAAUUUUUCCAAGGCUCUGAAAGCACACAACUUUCAUAUAAUACAAGUCUACAUUUGCUUAUUCAAAAUCCCAAAUUGCCAGAUGUGUCUUGUAAUUUGAGAUUUUCUGAAUCUUAGAAAUGUAAUAUAAUGCCUCUACCACUACAUUAUCACCCCAGCAGGGUCUGAAGACACACCUUUUAAAUAAAUGCAUCAAUAUUUGUUGAAUAUUCAUACUUUGUAGGAUAAAUAAAAACUAUAAAUAAAUA